rnacentral:tRNA from 1 species
UUGGGCAUUCGCCAAAUUGGUAAGGCGGCGGACCCUGGAUCCGCAAUGUACUGGUUCGAACCCAGUAUGCCCAAUC